UAAAGAGUGCGUAAUAGCUCACUGGUCGAGGAGUUUGGCGCCGAUAAUGAUCGGGAAUAAGCAUGAUACCGAAGCUGCGAACUUCGUAAGAAGUGGUAGGUGAGCGUUCCAUUCAGCGUUGAAGGUUUUCCGAAAGGGAUGCUGGAGCGUAUGGAAGUGAAUAUGCGGGCUUGAGUAACGAUAAAAAG
rnacentral:rRNA from 1 species